rnacentral:lncRNA from 1 species
GUAAAGUGUACUUCAACCUCCUGUUCUUUCUUCUCUGAAUAGAGAGAAAACUGUUAUUCAAGGUAUUGAAGGUGAACUAAUUUUUCAUUGUCACAUGUCAAAUUUUGUUGAUAUUCUUUAGAGAGUGGAAAAUCCCUGUAGGACAACAGUGUAUUCCUAACGAAGAAGUUAGCUUUAUGGGUCUCAUCAUAUUCUUCCUUGAAGAUGUGAGAAGAAAAAUGUAAAGAUUGAAACACAUCACUCUAGUGGUGACUUCCACACGUAUGCUCCUUGACUAUGAACAAGCCUGGGUAAUUGCUUCCUUGGCUCUUGGACACGAGGACUGAUGCGUGCUCAUAUAUACAUCAUGCAUCCUCAUGAAUGUGUCAUGAAGCCCUCUGGCAGCCACAUCUUGCGGCUUGCUCAGUGGAGGAAGGCAGUUGAAUCAGUGAACCUGUUUGCAUCUGUUCCUCUGUCCCCACCCUGCCCCCUGGCUCUCAUCCCAAUGGGGAAGCAUUUUGCAACGUGAACCGGAGAGGUCCAGCUCUGCCCUCUUCCUCUUGUGUGCAACGAGACCGGUGGUUCCUGGAGAGGUUGGGUCCACAUCCAGGCUGAACGACUCUCUGAAGUCUUUGGGCCAUGACUAUUACCUUGGCUCCAGGUAACGUUACCUGCUGUUAGAUGAAAGAUACCUGCAUUUGUGUAUCAUUAUUUGGCUUUGAUAAAUUUGGUGAACUCAUUUGGUACAAACUCUCUGGGGACACAGGAUUUUAAAAAAACACCAAAACUCUGAUUUAUUCAUUUUUUCCCUCCUACUUCUAAAUUUGAGU